UGGGGCAUCGCCAAGUGGCAAGGCACCAGACUUUGAUUCUGGCAUUCGGAGGUUCGAGUCCUUCUGUCCCAG
rfam:Monoraphidium neglectum strain SAG 48.87 mitochondrion, whole genome shotgun sequence.